rnacentral:rRNA from 1 species
AUAACGACUCUCGGCAACGGAUAUCUCGGCUCUCGCAUCGAUGAAGAACGUAGCGAAAUGCGAUACUUGGUGUGAAUUGCAGAAUCCCGUGAACCAUCGAGUCUUUGAACGCAAGUUGCGCCCGAAGCCAUCUGGUUGAGGGCACGUCUGCCUGGGCGUCACG